GUGGAGCAGCAUUUCUGGCCACCAAAAUCCCUGCUUUCUUCUGAGACAAAAAAGAUAAGGUGGGCCCACCCGGCAGUGUCUGCUCCCCUCCGCACCCCGCAACGGCCAUGGCCUUCGCCGCCGUCCUCCGCGCCAGCCACCUCGCCGGGCUCCCCCCACCGUCCGCCUCCUCGCCGCCGCCAUUCUGCUCCACUCCAGCCUACGCCCACCUCCCACGCCUAAGAGUAGCAGCAGCGCGCGGCGUGCGGUGCCGGCGCCGGGGCCGCGUGGCCGCGGCGAUCACCGCGUCGCUCGACCUCACCGAGGACAAUGUCCGGCGGGUCCUCGUCGAAGCCAAAUCCGAGCUGGGACAGCUGUUCGAUACGUCGGUGGGCAUCACAGGGCAAGUUGAGCUCGCGGAGCUGGAUGGCCCGUUCGUCAAGCUCCGGCUUAAGGGCAAGUUCUGGCACACCCGCGCUACCGUGGUCGCGAGGAUCGGCAACUACCUCAAGAACCGCAUCCCGGAAGUCUUGGAGGUGGAGAUAGAGGACGAGAAACAGUUGGAUGAUAGCCCCGCGGCUUUCUGAGAUAUCCAAGAUUUGGAGGUACCUAUCCUUGCAUUAAAAACCUGCAAGAUACUGCUGAGGGGACCUACUUUUGGAGAAGUGUAGUGGUUUUUCUUUCUGGGAUCAUCAUCUUGUGUGUGAAAAAGGACGAGAAGACGUCUGCAUAUAUAAUCGCUCACAGAAUUAAUGGUCCUUCAUCGCGUCAUGGUAAUUCCAGUUUCAUUCCCAAUGACAGCGUAUGUGACACUUUUCUGUUCUGAAUUUCUGAUAUCUUAUUUCUGUCACUUUUUCCGGCACCUACUCCUUAUGUUUAUGCUCAUGAACUUGCUGAAAAUGAGUCGUGUUCCGUGUUGAGCUCUACAAUCAUGUGUUGAGCAUUUCUGUAUAUGAAUCCUUUCGGACCCAGUGUAACCCUGUGAAAACGGUAGCAGAUGGUUCCCCAUUGUCUUAACCACGAAACCCUGCAUCGAAAAUUCUUGUUGCUGCUUUUCUGGGCAUAGAUUUUAGCAUUCUUGUAAAAUGUUUAGGCAUCAGUGAACUAUAUAAAGAGCGAACACAUUACGUCU